UACGAAGGGGGCUAGCGUUGCUCGGAAUCACUGGGCGUAAAGGGUGCGUAGGCGGGGCUUUAAGUCAGGGGUGAAAUCCUGGAGCUCAACUCCAGAACUGCCUUUGAUACUGAGGAUCUUGAGUCCGGGAGAGGUGAGUGGAACUGCGAGUGUAGAGGUGAAAUUCGUAGAUAUUCGCAAGAACACCAGUGGCGAAGGCAGCUGACUACGCGGUAAUUGACACUGAGGCACGAAAGCGUGGGGAUCAAACAGG
rnacentral:rRNA from 1 species